GCAGGUCCCAAGGGUAUGGCUGUUCGCCAUUUAAAGUGGUACGCGAGCUGGGUUCAGAACGUCGUGAGACAGUUCGGUCCCUAUCUGCAGUGGGCGCUGGAAAUUUGCGGGGGGCUGCUCCUAGUACGAGAGGACCGGAGUGGACGGACCGCUGGUGUACCGGUUGUCACGCCCGUGGCAUCGCCGGGUAGCUAUGUCCGGAAGGGAUAACCGCUGAAAGCAUCUAAGCGGGAAGCCCGCCCCAAGAUCAGAUUUCCCAAGGUUUUAACCUUCGUAAGGCCCGUCGAAGACGACGACGUUGAUAGGCCGGAUGUGGAAGCGCAGUAAUGCGUUAAGCUAACCGGUACUAAUUGGCCGCGCGGCUUGAUUUC
rnacentral:rRNA from 1 species